AUCCCAAAAUACCCCUAAAUUUAGGUUCCAGUUCAGUUCGGUUGCUGCAACCCGAAUACAAUUUUCUUUCGUAUCGUAGGAACCGAAGUAUUAUCUUCCAAACUGCAGAAGGGGUCGCCCUAUCUCACUUUUCCUUUCCUUUCACUUUCAACAACACCUUUGUCUAAUGUUUCCAUCUUCAUCUUCCUAACUUGUAGAUGAAAACAGAACAACAACACUUUUGUGUUCCGAAAACGCUUCAUGUUCAUCUUCCGAAAACGUCAUCUCAACAUCUCCAUCUUCCUUAGAUUCGGUUUCUAUAUACCGAAAAAGCUUCGAUUCGGUUUCUAUAUACCGAAAAAGCUUCGCUUCGGUUUUUAUAUACCGAAAAAGCUUCGAUUCGGUUUCUACCGUCCGAAAACGCUUAGAUUCGGUUUCUAUCUUCCGAAAACGCUUUAAAAGUCCAUGAAUUUGCGAUUUGUUUUCCAUGAAUUUGGGUUUUCCAUGAAUUUAGAGCUUACUUCAGAAGUCAGAUUGUGAACUUAUUUGGUUUGAGAUCAUGUUACUAUGAAUUUUGCCAAAAGUGGAGGACAUGGGAUCUAGGGUUCAGAAUGUCAAUAAAGAAUGACUAGGCUAAUUCUGCAUGAGUUGGAACCACAGGUACUAGAAAAUUGCCAUACGCAGCUGUCACAUUCUUUCCAUCUGAUGAAAUUCGAGUCCCAAGUAAAGGUGCUUCAUCAUUGAUUUUCCUCCUCUUUCUUGCUUCUGAUGGCAUCAGCUUGUUAAUGAUUGUUGUUUAGUGAUCUAAAGCUUUAAAAAGUGAAUGAAUAUAGUAGGUGAGGAAUCUGCUGCAUCGGUCUGUCUAUUGUGAGAUAAAAAUAUGCAAGUUUCACUGAAGUGGAAGGGGUAACAAUUGAAGCAAUAGCUGAGGCUAAAGGUAGUAACUAAAUAGGAACUGCCGACACCUUACACUUUAAUUGUUUAGGCGAUUUGCUUGUGACUUAGGCAGAGAAAAGAGUGCCUUCAUUUUGGCUCAAUGCUAUGAAAAACAAUGAUUUCAGCUGAAGAGGUAAUUUGGAAAAAGGAUUCAAUUGCUACUUACCCUUAAAUGCUUGAAUUUUUUUAGCCAUAAAAUUAAUUUUGUUAUGAUG